AUGAACGCUGGCGGCGUGCCUAAUACCUGCAAGUCGGGCGAACGGACGAGAAGCUUGCUUCUCUGAUGUUAGCGGCGGACGGGUGAGUAACCCUUGGAUAACCUACCUAUAAGACUGGGAUAACUUCGGGAAACCGGAGCUAAUACCGGAUAAUAUUUUGAACCGCAUGGGUCAAAAGUGAAAGACGGUCUUGCUGGCACUUAUAGAUGGAUCCGCGCUGCAUUAGCUAGUUGGUAAGGUAACGGCUUACCAAGGCAACGAUGCAUAGCCGACCUGAGAGGGUGAUCGGCCACACUGGAACUGAGACACGGUCCAGACUCCUACGGGAGGCAGCAGUAGGGAAUCUUCCGCAGUGGGCGAAAGCCUGACGGAGCGACGCCGCGUGAGUGAUGAAGGUCUUCGGAUCGUAAAACUCUGUUAUUAGGGAAGAACAUAUGUGUAAGUAACUGUGCACAUCUUGACGGUACCUAAUCAGAAAGCCACGGCUAACUACGUG
rnacentral:rRNA from 1 species